rnacentral:tRNA from 1 species
GGGUUUAUAGUUAAUAAUAACAUUUGAUUUGCAUUCAAAAAGUAUUGAAAUAUCAGUUAAUCUCA